UGGGGAAUAUUGGGCAAUGGGCGGAAGCCUGACCCAGCGACGCCGCGUGGGGGAAGAAGUCUUUCGGGAUGUAAACCCUUGUUGUACGGGACGAAGGAAGUGACGGUACCGUACGAGGAAGCCCCGGCAAACUACGUGCCAGCAGCCGCGGUAAUACGUAGGGGGCGAGCGUUGUCCGGAAUCACUGGGCGUAAAGCGCACGUAGGCGGGCUGUCAAGUCGGCCGUGAAAGGCACGGGCUCAACCUGUGCAUGUCGGUCGAUACUGUCGGUCUGGAGGAUGGGAGGGGGAACGUGAAUUCCCGGUGUAGCGGUGAAAUGCGUAGAUAUCGGGAUGAACACCAGUGGCGAAGGCGGGUUCCUGGCCCAUGACUGACGCUGAGGUGCGAAAGCCGGGGGAGCGAACG
rnacentral:rRNA from 1 species